rnacentral:rRNA from 1 species
AAGCUCGUAGUUGAAUUUCGGGAUCAAUUUGCUGGUCGAGACCUCUGGUACGUACUGGUAUUAUUGAUUUCUUUAUUCUGAUAGAUCAUUGAUGUCAUUAAUUUGAUGACUUUGAGGAAUCGGAACUUUUACUUUGAAAAAAUUAGAGUGUUUAAAGCAGGCUUAUUAGGCUUGAAUACAUUAGCAUGGAAUAAUGAAAUAGGACGAUUGAUCCUAUUUUUGUUGGUUUCUAGGAUUGACGUAAUGAUUAAUAGGGAUAGUUGGG